rnacentral:lncRNA from 1 species
GGAUAUAUCCGAAUUGUAUGUUUGUACAAAGGUAUGGCAGUUUAUUUUCAAUAGUAAUUAUUAUAAUUAAUCAGCAUCAACUCUGUCACUUUUGAACCAAUCAAACACACUAUCGAAGGUACUACGUCAUAUUGCAUGUGUUUUCUUUACCUAAUAUGGGAUUACGUAAACACAGCCAUAUGUUGUUACACUACGUGUGACAAUUUUAUGUUAUCGGGCAUUAUGUUUAUGAGAAUCAGAUAUGCAGCCGUCACAGCCUGCUGAUGAAGAUCCACAGCUUAUACAGAGGUCAGGGUUGAGCUGUGUGCUGAUUCAAAAGAUGAUAAUGACAGUGGAUAAUCCAUUCUGAGUUGUUCUGGGACCAUUCACCAACGUUUCAAAACACUGAUGGAACUGAAGGCAGUACAUGUACUGGUGUCUGGCCUGUGAUUUUAAGUAUAAUUGAUGUACCUCCUCCUGAUGUACCCCCUUGAAUACAAUACAUCUGCCAUGUGAAUGGAACAAGCUGCAAGAUAUACUGUGGAAAUGGGGGCCUAUGUAAAAAACAUUUUAUUUAAAGAAUAUAAGAAAUCUGACACAAAACUACUAAAAAGGUGCACAGGGGACAUUUUUGUGUGUAUAGACUUCCAUCAAGAUUCUGAGAGUUGAUUUAUUAAACAAAAAAUAGCCAUAUUGUGUUUCAAAGCUGAAAAGAUUAGGAUCUUAGGAAAACAUUAGGACUCAAGAAAAGUAAUGGGGUUAUGAAACUGUAGUGUUCAACAUUUAAAUUGAGUUUUUUUAACUACAUUUUGUGAAGAGGGUUCCAUCACAAGAUUUGACAUAUUGGUAAGGAUGAGAUGUAGUUUAUGAAAACAAGUAUUUUGCUUUAAAUGUGCAGACUUUAAGUUACAUAAAAAAAUCAAAGCUGUAACAAUAAAGCUUGGUUAAAAAACACACACAGUUGAAAACUAGCCUUCAUGUAAAUGCCACACUUUUUUGGUGCACAGGAGACACAGUUAGCUAUAUAAUUUAAUAUAACUACCCUUAGUCAUGUGCAUCAUUGAAAGUAUAUGUUACAGUAGUACUUUUCUAACCAACUGAUAAACAUUCAUUUUUUGGAAAGUUUGUUGCAUAAAGUUAAAGGAGUUUUUUUAUGAAAUUUACAUGGUGUAGGCCUUUUAGCGGUUUACUUUAAAAAACACCUUGACUGUAUUUUUGAUAAUUUCUUAUGUAUUAAGUCAUUUCUAAUGUUUUCUCUUUUAAUUGAUCCUGAGUGGCAGUUCUUGUUAACUACAAAAUCAUCUACUAUUAUUGGUUAACUAAUUAUUGGAAUAGUGAGUAUUUUAACAUUGUUUCAUCACAAUGCACUCCUUUAUUGGAAUAGGGAGGCAAUAGCAGUAUUAUAGCACAUUUAACUAUUAAACUAAUAAUUAAACUGCCUUAGACACACCUGAAAAUCUAACAAAAAUAAUGAACUACAGAGUUCUUAUUUCGGUAUUUCGAUUAUCAGGCCUGUGUUCAUUUUAUAAGAAACAUGAAACAAAUUUAUCCUUAACAGUUUUGCUUAUAUCAAAAAAUCCUAAAUUGAACAAAAGCAGUUCAGUUUUAAAAUAGUCCUUUUUUCCCAUUUUGUCUGCCAAUCAUUGUCCUACAUAUUUAUUCAAAGAUAGAUGAACCGCACAUCCGUACUAAAUUUCUACAUAAAAAUCAUUAUCUAUCAAAGGGUGCACUAAUGCAUCGUAAAAAUCCGUGUUCGUUUAUUACAAUGUUUGUAGACAAUAUGAAUUGUAAUAAUGUUCCGUGUUAUAACUCAUAGACACUGGAUCAUGAAAGUAAUUUGUUGCUGAACGAGAACUAUGACCUAUGUGCUUCAGAGUUAUUUCCGUUGAAUAUUUUUAUCAACUCAUGUCAU